rnacentral:rRNA from 1 species
AGGGGGCGAGCGUUAUCCGGAUUUAUUGGGCGUAAAGAGUGCGUAGGCGGUCAAGCAAGUUCUCCGUCAAAGCCCGGGGCCCAACCCCGGAACUGCGGAGAAUACUGCUUGGCUAGAGGGAGGUAGGGGCUGUCGGAACUUGGGGAGGAGGGGUGAAAUCCUAUGAUCCCCCAAGGAACACCGAAGGCGAAGGCAGACAGCUGGGCCUCUCCUGACGCUGAGACACGAAAGCUAGGGGAGCAAAACGGAUUAGAUACCCGUGUAGUCCUAGCCGUAAACGAUCCUCGCUAGAUUUUGGCAUCUGUCAGAGUCGAAGCUAACGCAUUAAGCGAGGCGCCUGGGGAGUACGGCCGCAAGGCUAAAACUCAAAGGAAUUGACGGGGACCCGCACAAGCGGUGGAGCGUGUGGUUUAAUUCGAUGAUAACCGUAGGACCUUACCAGGGCUUGACAUGCAGGUGGUAGUGAACCGAAAGGGGAACGACCCGCAAGGGAGCCUGCACAGGUGUUGCAUGGCUGUCGUCAGCUCGUGCCGUGAGGUGUACGCUUAAGUGCCGAAACGAGCGCAACCCCCACUCUAUGUUAGAAAUGUCAUAGGGAACUGCCUCCGUAAGGGGGAGGAAGGUGGGGACGACGUCAAGUCAGUAUGGCCCUUAUGCCCUGGGCCACACACACGCUACAAUGGCGGCUAUAACAGGUUGCGAAGCCGUAAGGCAGAGCUAAUCCCUAAAAGCCGGCCAGGUUCGGAUUGCGGGCUGCAACUCGCCCGCAUGAAGUUGGAAUCGCUAGUAAUGGCCGGUCAGCUAUACGGCCGUGAAUACGUUCUCGGGUCUUGUACACACCGCCCGUCAGUUGAGGAAAGUUGGAGCCAUCCGAA